rnacentral:rRNA from 1 species
UACGAGGGGUGCAAGCGUUAAUCGGAAUUACUGGGCGUAAAGCGCGCGUAGGCGGCUUGAUAAGUCGGAUGUGAAAGCCCUGGGCUCAACCUGGGAACUGCAUUCAAAACUGACAAGCUAGAGUAUGGUAGAGGGUGGUGGAAUUUCCUGUGUAGCGGUGAAAUGCGUAGAUAUAGGAAGGAACACCAGUGGCGAAGGCGACCACCUGGACUGAUACUGACACUGAGGUGCGAAAGCGUGGGGAGCAAACAGGAUUAGAAACCCGUGUAGU